UACGAAGGGGCUAGCGUUGUUCGGAAUCACUGGGCGUAAAGGGCGCGUAGGCGGCUUUAUAAGUCGGGGGUGAAAGCCUGUGGCUCAACCACAGAAUUGCCUUCGAUACUGAUAGAGCUUGAGACCGGAAGAGGUAAGUGGAGCUGACGAGUGUAGAGGUGAAAAUUCGUAGAUAUUCGCAAGAACACCAGUGGCGGAAGGCGGCUUACUG
rnacentral:rRNA from 1 species